rnacentral:sRNA from 1 species
GUAGGAACCUGCUUGGUCGCGUCUGAGGGGGCUUGUAGGUGGCUCUGGCUGAAGCAGGCGCCUGGGAGAGUCUGUAGGAGGGAAACCGCCAUGGACGAUCAGGGUUGCCCUCGGUGUAAGACCACCAAAUAUCGGAACCCCUCCUUGAAGCUGAUGGUGAAUGUGUGCGGACACACGCUCUGUGAAAGUUGUGUAGAUUUACUGUUUGUGAGAGGAGCUGGAAACUGCCCUGAGUGUGGUACUCCACUCAGAAAGAGCAAUUUCAGGGUACAACUCUUUGAAGAUCCCACUGUUGACAAGGAGGUUGAGAUCAGGAAAAAAGUGCUAAAGAUAUACAAUAAAAGGGAAGAAGAUUUUCCUACUCUAAGAGAAUACAAUGACUUCUUGGAAGAAGUGGAAGAAAUUGUUUUCAACUUGACCAACAAUGUGGAUUUGGACAACACCAAAAAGAAAAUGGAGAUAUAUCAAAAGGAAAACAAAGAUGUUAUUCAGAAAAAUAAAUUAAAGCUGGUCGGUUGCUAAGUAUUUUCUUCUUGUUUUGUCUUAGAAACAAAUGUUUCCACAUAAUACUUUAAAAAGACAUCUUCCUUUAAACCAGUUACAUUUAUAAAAAAUUUAGCUGAAAUUUAGACCAGAAAUAUGAAUAUAUGCUGCAUAGGUAUGUAGGUAGGCAGGCACACAUUACUAUAGCAAAAACCACUUUGACAGCAUUAUGUUAGACUGUGCUUUCUUAAGGAAAUGGAACCAUAAGAUAGGUGAUUGUUAACGCUAGUUUUACCUGCCCGUAUAAUCUUCUGGUAAGUGAGCAUUUGGACAGUGGUCACGAAACAAUGGAGGCUCAUUUUUAUCCUUGGACAUUAGUUUCUCUAAAGGAGGGAGCAAACCCAGACAGACGUUGAUGGAGCUACCAAGAGGGAGAUAAAACAAAGACGCUAUUUAUUAGAAACUAAAAUGAAUUCAUGAUUAGAUCAGAGGAACACACUUGUAAACUAAGGUUAACUUUGGUUUCUCAAUUAGUAACCUUUUUUGUUUUACCGAAAUAGUAACAUUGCUAGAUAUAAAUAUGAUUUUGGUUUGUUUUAGUUGAUCUCAUGUUG